UACGUAGGUGGCGAGCGUUGUCCGGAUUUACUGGGCGUAAAGAGCGCGCAGGCGGCUGGUCAAGUCCGAUGUGAAAGCUCCCGGCUUAACUGGGAAAUUGCAUCGGAAACUGAUCGGCUGGAAGGUGGGAGAGGGUAGCGGAAUUCCCGGUGUAGUGGUGAAAUGCGUAGAUAUCAUGAGGAAUACCAGAGGCGAAGGCGGCUACCUGGACAAUUGCUGACGCUCAGGCACGAAAGCGUGGGGAGCAAAAGGG
rnacentral:rRNA from 1 species